UUUUUUUAGUAAACUUUAUCAACAUUUUCAACAAUUGACUAAUCUUGCUGCUGUUUCUUCGCAUUUUAGCGUGAACAACUAAAUUGAAUAUACAUUUUUGAACUUUAUAUUACAGAUAUACCGUAACAUUGACUGAAUCUCUGGAGUGCUGCCUUCUGUUCUGAAAAGAUGUCUAUAAGCAUGAGUCAACUAUAAAUGGAAUAUAAUGAAUAACAUGUCGCAGGCUUCGCCAUUUAAAGCCCUCAAAUGACUGUUGCCCUAUCAUAGACUUGGAAAUCUUGGCUAAAAAACUUAUAUAGACAGCAUUUAUAGACAGAGUUCAAUAUUUUGUGAGGAAAAUAUAAGCUAAGGAUACAGUAACACACAGUCUUUAUGAAAGCACAUUGAGCCUAAAAGAAUGAUAGGUACAUGAUUAAUUUGGAUGUCAUAAAUUCGGUGGAAGGUAAUUUUAAUAUGCUAAUUUGUUUCAAAAUUAUGCCAAAUUAUAUUCAUGGUAAAAUCGAUAUGAAACAAUAGAAUGAUCUGGUUUAAUAAAUCUUUUAAAAAUACUGAUGAAUCAAAUAACUUUGAUUUUCGAUUUAAAUUCAAAUUUCAGUAUCAACUAUAUACAUUGUUUUGCACAUGUAAUUAUAUUAAUAAUAUUUAACAUAAUAACAUAUUUAUCAGUUAAAAUAUAGGAUGUACAUGGAAAUCACACAUAUUUAUCUAUUUAUUAAUUUAUUUGAAAGUGUA